CUCGCCAUUGAGACUACCGUGUUCGUCGCCGAGUACAUCUGGUAUGUACGCAACGAACCUCCCUAAUGCAAUGUCGCUGCUGUUUAUUUCAUCUUUUGAUUGCGGCAGACUAUAUUCCACUAAGGCACAUUAGGGAGUAGCUUUGGGAUAGGGGCCAAACCUGCAUAUUUUGAUCAAUUAUUUUUAUUAGAUUAGCAAUGGGAGCUUACUGUUCAGUGAGGAUUUUCCCCCUUAAAGUCAUAUUGUUAAUAUCCAAAAAAUUUAAUGGGUGGGUGGUGAUGUCCCACUGCUUUGCCCUUUUAAUUCCAGCACUUAAAUAAGAAUUGGAGGGUAGACGUUGCACAAAUGGAUCAUGUGGCAUUUACUACUGUUGUAUUAUCAUAUCUAGCAUCUCUCUAUAAAAAAUAAAUCUAGCAUUAGUUUUGAACUUCUGAUGAUGUAAGGUAAACACAGAGGCAUAUCUUCGUCAUAGUUGCAUCCUUUAUAGCAGAGAUUUUGUUAUGAAAAAAUUAUUUUGUUGAUGGAAGCCUUUGUGCUUCUGUCACUUGGACGUGAAGUUUUUGUAGACAAUCUUAGGACGUGAAGUGGGAUGCAACAUCUAUAGAUCUACUGACACUGAAAGGUGGUUGUUAGUUAGGUUCUGAUUGUGCCAAUCAAUAAUACACAAUUGUUACUAGGGUUCGGCUACGGAUGCCAUCCAUCAACUCAUGUUUUAAAGUGUGCUUGUGAGAUGCAAUCCGAUCUCUCUAUCUUUCCCGCUGAGAUGCAGAGGAGCUCGGUGUUUUAGGGCCUGGCUGUUGCUGCAGGGGAAGGUGGAGCUGCGAGGAAACAAGACAGGUGGACAAUGCGACAGGAAGCAAGAAUGAAUUUCUAAUCAAUCUACUGUUUCCCUUGAGUCGGGGGGAACGUACCACGCACCACGUUGUGUUUAUUGAUCUGGAAUCCUAGAGGAUCACCCACCCUCGUAAUUCAGUAUUGAGAUGAUCUCCUUAAUUUCUCAAAUGUGUUUUAUUAAAUUGGAUUCCUGUAAUUAUCCUUGCUCUAAUUUGAUAGUUUUACCCUCCCGAGCAUGUUGUGCUUCCAUAAAAACAUGAAUAUUUCUCAGCCAUUUUAUUGAAAAUGUAGUCGUAUGCUUUCACAUUGACUCUGGAUAUUCUCCUAAACGAAGGUCAAGAACAAUUGAUUUUAUCGGCAACAGGAGGCGCUUAUCAGUCGCCAUCAAGUGCCUCAACCAGUGCGGCGUCCAGGUACACACAUUGCUUCAUCUCCUGUGCUAUCUCAUCGUCUAGACAAUAUAUCCAUGGGUGACCCCUAUACUCACCUCAUCUCCAGAUUAGAACAUAAGUGUCGUAGGAGGGUAGGAUCUAGGCAACUGCAGUACUGAUUGUCCAGCUAGGCAACAAAGUCGACGGGGCAAAUAACAUAAUCUUCAGAUAAAGUUAUAUUCGAAAGUCAGUAGGCUUUUCAUGAUUGCCAGUGGUAAAACAAGCAUAUAUUUCUUUUGAUUAUUGACAUAGCACAGCUUAGUAGGGUGGACCAACCAACAUUGGGUUUGGGAGGUCAUUUAAUAGGAAACACUUCGCUGCAAGUUUCUUCACCAUUGAACACAAUUCAUCACAAGACUUUAUAUAUGUUGGCUGUCAUGCAUGUACGUCUGCAACUAAAUAAUUACAGGAUGUUGUGUGCUUGUUCUAUGUCCAGCAGUAAAGAUGUUUGAAGUUUUGUACCAGUUUCCAAUAGAUCAUUUCCUACAACAAUAUUUGUUUUGCAAUCCAAACAAGUAAAUGUCUUGUAAAGAAGUAGAUGUUUCUACAUAUCAACACACCAUUCAAGUUAUUUACAGAAUGAUUUUCUUGGAGCGUUCAUAAUUUCAUGUAUGUUUACAUCAUUAUUCAUGUGUGGGUUGUAUUGUGUUUUCUUUCGUGGGGUGCCGGACACGCUACUGACGGUACUAGCAUGUUUGGGCUGGGGAGACAGAGAUGGUAUGCGGAGUAAGAAGAGUGAUUUAAGGGGAGAGAAAUCAUAACAGGGGUUGGUGGAGCAGAAGAGGGUGAAGGAAGACUUGUGGGGAGCUGCGAGGAAUAGAUUUUGGGGUAUGUUACUAUUUUAUGUGUGAUAUCAGUUCAUAAUUUACUGCAGCGGUCAGUUCUCUACUUUCUAUGUACUAGGUUAAUUCUAUUUGCUAGCCUGAAGUGUUUUUUCUAUAGCAACUAAAUAUUGUGAAAGUAACCCUGAAACAUACACACAUCUACUAAAUGCAAAAUUGUUUCUCUGUUGGUACGAACAAUCAUGUAGAUUACUGCAUGUAGUUUCGUUUUGCACACAACAUACUCUCCAGUAGUGCUGAAAUUAGAAUCUCAAUCCCUGUCCAUUAUACAAGAUGCAAAAGAGUUCAGAAUAAGAUAUCCAUCAUCAUAUUCACGCAUUUUCUGUUGUAAUAUAUAUUUUGUAUUUGUGUACAGGUUGACACAUUACACAUACAUACAGUAUGUCUAACUUAUGCAGAAGAAAAGGGGCCCUUCAUAUAAAUUAUUUGCAUGCUCAUAGUUAUGAACUUAAUACACUUUGCCUGGCAUUCAUAACCAUUAUACUUCCUCCUGCCCAAAUUUGUUGUCCUACGUAAUAGUGUUCCACUUUGCGCCUACCACUGGUAGCUGGAAAUUAGAUAUAAUAAUAAUCAGUUUCCUUGCUAGAUUUGUUUCCUUAUAGGAUAUCCUGCCGAUUUGAUCUAUUUUUGGCUAGAGCACAUGGGAUCAAACCAGAGGUAAUCAAUUUUCUAUGUUCACCUGAUUAGUUAUAAGGAAUUUAUUACCUCUGUUUUAUUUCCAGGAUACCCAAACCAGUGGUAAUGUUUUUUAUGGCUUUGAAAUUCUGUACAAGGUAUUCUCAUGUCUAAAUACUAGAAUUGUUUGUUCAUUGCUAAAUUGUUAAUGAGGGGUCCAUGUAGUGCUCUCAGUGGAGACACUAGACCAUCUGAUGUUCAUUUAGACAUUUCUAUUCAAACUUUCAAAGUGAUUGUUUUCUUUUUGUGUGUCCACACAGUUGUUUGUGUGCAUCCAAUAUAAAACUUGCUAUGAAUUUGCACCACCUACACCCUUUUUCCAUGUCUUAGUCUAUAUGAAUUACCCACUUUAUAUACCGCAAAAAGAAAUUACCCACUUUAUAAUAACUCACAUGUUAAUUAAAAGGAAAAAGAUCUGAACCAUCGACACUCUAUAAGUUAAGUUGUUCAACUAAAAUUUAACAAAGAGAUAUUUGAUUCCAUGGAUCUCUAAUUUUUCUGCAGUGUUGUAAUUAUAUUGUCUCGGGUGUUGUUGUACGUUCCUUGUAUCAUGUUGACUUACUCCUUGAUCAAUAGGGAUGUGGAUACAAAAUUCCAUUUUCCACUACUUAUAUUAUCCUCAUUGGACCUUAAGCUAUAAUCAUCGGUUGUUGUUGUGUGUCUGCCUGCCUGGCAAUGUUUCACCUCUAUUUUUGACCUACUGUUGACUUAUUUGGAACCUGAGAAAGAAUUAUUUUACAUGUUAGAGUACUCUCAUAUGUUCGAAGUCAUAAAACCAGCUGAGAUAAUGAAAUAAUGCCAGGUAAUUACUCGUGGUUUCAAGGUUGCGCAAAGGAGAGGAGGCAUGGUUAUAGGUCCUCGACAACAUCUGCGCCUCAUAGGUCAGCCAUGAUUCUCGGAUUUUUUUGUUCUGCUGUUAUUCCCAAAGAAACAUCGUAGUUCUUUUGGAUGGUGAAAGAUUAUUCAGUUACUGAAAUACUUCUUAUCCAAAGAGCUGGGAAUAUUUAAAACAUCUAAAUUGCUUAUCUCAACACUAUAAUAGAAAGUACUAUCUCGAAAAUAAUAACAAAACACCGUGAUAAACUGGGCACCGAAGCCAUAUUGACACAGACCCAUGAUCAAUGAUAUGUGAGCCAAGUCUUCCCGUGAACUUACAGCCACCCAUUGAGUGCAUGAUUUCUUCCAUCUCCUUUUCUUUUGUUUUCCAGGGCAGAUAUUCCACUGUGCAUCGUAUUUGACCAUACUUAACCAAGUUGAUUCAUAUCAAUUAGUAUCUUUUGGUUUUCUUCCAGUUUAUUAGGCAUGGACCCAGCCACAAAUUCUGAAGCUUCAAUAAUUUGGGUGGUCUAAUAGUUCCUGUAUAGCUUGAUGUCAUAUCAGGUGUAAUAUUUUGUUGUUGCUUGAUGUUGCAUCAAGACAAGCUAGGGUCAACAAGGAACAAAGGGGUUGACACAUGGAGAAGCGGGAGCAUAAAAUUCAAAAGGUACUGAACAUGUGUAUGGAUUACACCGGUGAGUGAAUGGUGUGGCACAUUGAGUCAGAGAGGAGUAGUUGCUUGUCUGGUAUGAAAAACAGUUGUUUCUCGAUUAGAUUAAGGCCAAACUUAUCUUCAACAUGUGUGGUCUUUCAUCACCAUUUUAAAAGAGGUUCAAUGCAAAAUCCUAAGACUGCCAAUUUUUACUAUAUUGGAAGUACUUUAUCGAUACGUUUGGAACAAUUCUCAGAUUCCAUGAAACAUAUUCGUGGCACCAAUUUUAACUAAAGAAUAAAUCAAUC
rnacentral:lncRNA from 1 species